rnacentral:lncRNA from 1 species
UCCAGGCAGGAGGCCUGGAGAGGAAACAGCCCCAAAAGAAGGAGACUAGAAGCUUCCGGAAGGAUGUGUCCACGAGAUCCACUGAAAGUCUUAUGUCUGACUUUAGACAUGACCCACAUGUGGAAAGCUGUCCUGAGAGGCCAGAAAGAGGGAGUUGGAACAGCAUGAACCUGUUUAGGUCAUCGCUGUUGACCAAAGAGCAGUGUAAAGAGAGAAAUGGAGCGGCAGACAGAGAGAGACAGAGGGAAGCAGGCUCCCCACUGAGCAGAGAGCCCGAUGCGGGACUCGAUCCCAGCACCCUGAGAUCAUGA